rnacentral:rRNA from 3 species
AGAUUAAGUUAUUAAGGGCGCACGGUGGAUGCCUUGGCACUAGAAGCCGAUGAAGGACGUUACUAACGA